GGGAUAACACUUGGAAACAGGUGCUAAUACCGUAUAACACUAUUUUCCGCAUGGAAGAAAGUUGAAAGGCGCUUUUGCGCCACUGAUGGAUGGACCCGCGGUGCAUUAGCUAGUUGGUGAGGUAACGGCUCACCAAGGCCACGAUGCAUAGCCGACCUGAGAGGGUGAUCGGCCACACUGGGACUGAGACACGGCCCAGACUCCUACGGGAGGCAGCAGUAGGGAAUCUUCGGCAAUGGACGAAAGUCUGACCGAGCAACGCCGCGUGAGUGAAGAAGGUUUUCGGAUCGUAAAACUCUGUUGUUAGAGAAGAACAAGGAUGAGAGUAAAACGUUCAUCCCUUGACGGUAUCUAACCAGAAAGCCACGGCUAACUACGUGCCAGCAGCCGCGGUAAUACGUAGGUGGCAAGCGUUGUCCGGAUUUAUUGGGCGUAAAGCGAGCGCAGGCGGUUUCUUAAGUCUGAUGUGAAGGCCCCCGGCUCAACCGGGGAGGGUCAUUGGAAACUGGGAGACUUGAGUGCAGAAGAGGAGAGUGGAAUUCCAUGUGUAGCGGUGAAAUGCGUAGAUAUAUGGAGGAACACCAGUGGCGAAGGCGGCUCUCUGGUCUGUAACUGACGCUGAGGCUCGAAAGCGUGGGGAGCGAACAGGAUUAGAUACCCUGGUAGUCCACGCCGUAAACGAUGAGUAUAGGUGUUGGAGGGUUUCCGCCCUUCAGUGCUGCAGCA
rnacentral:rRNA from 1 species